ensembl:lncRNA
GGACUCCUCUGUCACAGGACAUUCACUGUUUAAGCACCACCACUACCUCAGGAAGUCCACUGUCUGUGUGUCAACUCCACUGUUUCAGGACCACAAGUGUCUCAGCACUUCAACUAUCACAGCACUUCUACUGUUCAGGAGCUCAAGAGUCUCAGCAUCUCAAGUGUUACAGGACCUCCUUUGUCCAAGAACUGGACUGUCCAAGCAACACUACUAUUGCGGGACCUCCACUGUCACAGGACUUCCACUGUAGGAGCACUACAACGGUCUAAGGACACCCACUGUCCUAUCACCUCCACUAUCCCAGGAAUUCCACUGUCGUAGCACCACCCAUAGCAACUACAGUGUUUCAGGACAUCAACUGAAGCAAGAUCUCCCAUGAUGCUUCAACUUCACUGCCACAGGAUCUCUACAGUGACAGGAAUACCCCUGUAUCAUCAAUUCCAAUUUUGCAGGACCUCCACUGUAGCAGAACCUUCAAUUGUGCAGCAGCUCCCCUGUUGGACAACUAGGUGCCCAUGACCAACUCGUCAUUUUGGAUGGAUUUAGUCUGGUUGGACUUUCUCAGGAAAGGCAGCUGAACUCAUGACUAGUACCAGUUCCAUGGUUACCCUGGAAGUUGCAAAUCAAGGCAUCCUCUCUCACUUCCUGUCCACCUUUCUUACCCAGACAUUGUCCUCCAUGGUGCAGAGAGCACAGAUCUCAUCUGGUCCUGGAGAAAGUCCUUAUCCUGGUCUGUGGCGACAGGAGACUUGUAGGGGUGCGUGAAGCCGACUUCUGGUACAUCUUUGUCUCUGGCUCAGUGCUAAACAUCCUGCCCUCAGUGUAUGAUGGGUAUGACAUGGCUCCUGCAUUUAAAGGAACGUUGUUAUGUUUAUUUUACUUGUCAUUUAAUGUGACACUUGGGUUUUUAACACUAUUUCUAAUAGAUCAGCCUCCUAUUCCUAGAGAGAAGUGUGCAUAUACCACUAGAACAGCAGCUAACAUCUGUCUCCACUGGAGACCUCUGCACUGAGGUCUGAGAUGAGCUGGAACACUUUCUUACUUGUGAAAUAUCUGACUUCUUUGAUACAGUUCUCAACAAAUUACAUUAACUAUCAUUCCUGAAUUUUGUUCACUGAAGUUUUAUUUUUAUUACGCUACUCAAGUAAACUAAUACUAAAUUAAUGAAUCUGGAAAAUGAGAAUUAGUGUAAAUGAGUAAAUAAGAAAAUGUGAAAUGUUUUUUAUUGAAAGCAUAGGGUCAACAUUACAUUUUUAGCACAGCAUUUAAAAUACAUGCUUUUUAGAAAACCGUUUAUUUAUUUCCUUUAUAAUCCAAUAUUAGCCCUUCCUGUCUUCCCAGUAACCCACCAUACAAAUCUUCCCUCCAUCGCCC